CUGCAGCCCGAGUGGUGAUCGAUUUUAUUGAGCCUAAAGCGUCCGUAGCCGGACUAGUAAACCCUUGGGUAAAUUGGGCAGCUUAACUGUCCAAAUUCCGAGGGGACUGCUAGUUUUGGGACCGGGAGAGGUCAGAGGUACUCAAGGGGUAGGGGCUAAAUCCUGUAAUCCUUUGGGGACCACCAGUGGCGAAGGCGUCUGACUAGAACGGAUCCGACGGUAAGGGACGAAACCCUGGGGCGCAAACCGGAUUAGAGACCCGAGUAGUCC
rnacentral:rRNA from 1 species